UACAUGGGGUGCAAACGCUGCUCGGAAUUAUUGGGCGUAAAGCGCACGUAGGCGGUUCGUUAAGUCGGAUGUGAAAGCCCUCGGCUCAACUGAGGAAGUGCACCCGAAACUGGCGAGCUUGAGUACGAAAGAGGAUCGCGGAAUUCCCGGUGUAGAGGUGAAAUUCGUAGAUAUCGGGAGGAACACCGGUGGCGAAGGCGGCGAUCUGGGUCGAUACUGACGCUGAGGUGCGAAAGCGUGGGGAGCAAACAGG
rnacentral:rRNA from 1 species